CGGCCCCUGUACUAUGCGUGAUAGUCGAAUUUUUUUUGAGCCAACACCUUAUGCCGCAGGCGGAGACUUUAUUCUGGUGUGCAUGCCCUGCUUGCAGGGAAGCCUGAAGGGAUAAUUUCCUGCCUCAACUGCUACUUAAGGUUCAAGAGAAGCGGCUACACGGUAGCAUGGGGGCAUU
rnacentral:other from 1 species